UUCUUUUGUACGCUUUCUCUCUCAUCUCUCAUCAUUCAUUAUGUUGACCCUCUCUCUCCAAAGUUCAUCCGCAUUCUAAACAAAACCUAGAUCAAAAUUCCUCUGCCUCUUUAUCUCUCUCAAUCCUGUGUUAAAUCGAUCUUCAAGACGCAAUAAUCUUCCACUGACGUGAAUCGAUCUUUAUCUCUCUCAAUACUCUGCGACAAUCUUCAAUCGAUCUUCAUAUCCGAAUACCCUACUAUUCACGUUAAAGGUUUCGUUUUCCCAUCGAACUUGAAGGUUCAUGAUGUUACUUUUUCGCCUUUAUACUCUGAUGUUGAUUCGGUGGGGCCUUGUGAUUGGUCCGAUAGUGAUUCUGCCGAAAGCAGAGAUUGGGAGGUGCUCUUGCUUGAUGAUGGUCCUACAGGCGAUGAGUCAUAGGUAGGGGCUUCAGUGAAGAUGUAAUUGACCGGGAGCUUCGGUGCGCCUGAGGUUCGAAUUCUCCGAUGCUUGAGUUCAAUGGCUCCCUCACCGAUGUUACUUUCUCUAAUGCCAUGAACACACGUCCUAUUUUCAGGCUGGAUAAGAUACAAAUGAAAUAUAUGCCCAAAUCACUUUACUCCCUGCAGAUCAAAGUGAUCCUACAAGUCUUGAUGAAUGCCUAGCCAACCUCCGCAAGGCCAACCAUACACUCUUUCUGCAAAGUCUUCAUAACUUCAGAUAUGAGCAGACAUGGACAUGACUCAAGCUACUCCUACCCAAGACUUAUUAGCCCUUGAUCUACAUGGCACAGAGUGGAAAUUUAAGCAUAUCUUUAUGGGUCAACCAAGAAGGUAUCUACUUACAACAUGACGGAGUACCUUAGAUACUAGCAAGAGAUUAGUGCUUGGGGAUUCAAUGGAGAUCUAUAAUACUCAUGAGUUGGCUUUUCUUAUUUAUUAGGCCACUCGGUUCACUUAAGUUACGUUUUAAUGAGUUGUAAAUCUUUAUAGAUUUAUCCAACGUUGGAUAUUAAUAAAUGUUUAUUCUACGAUGUUUA